AUCAUAUCAGGAGGGCAUCUUCUGAUCAGCUACUUGUAGCUCUUCCAAGCUUCAAAGAAGGAUUCUCCCUCUUUCUGUCUAAAAGCCUGGACUUCUACCCUAAUCUU